rnacentral:rRNA from 1 species
GUCGUCAGCUCGUGUCGUGAGAUGUGGUUAAGUCCGCAACGAGCGCAACCCUCGACCUUACGUUGCCAGCAUUCAGUUGGGCACUCUAAGGUGACUGCCGGCUAAAAGUCGGAGGAAGGUGGGGAUGACGUCAAAUCAUCAUGCCCCUUAUGACCUGGGCUACACACGUGCUACAAUGGGCGGUACAAAGGGUCGCGAACCCGCGAGGGGGAGCCAAUCCCAAAAAGCCGCUCUCAGUUCGGAUUGCAGGCUGCAACUCGCCUGCAUGAAGCCGGAAUCGCUAGUAAUCGCGGAUCAGCAUGCCGCGGUGAAUACGUUCCCGGGCCUU